CACUACAGGCAAGAAGAGCAAACCUGGGAGAAACUGACUCUAUAACCAGUGGAAGAAAGGCUGCGUAGCCAUCAUCGGAUCUCUGGGGGAAGAGAGAAGACACAGAGACACAGACCUGCCCCGGAGGAAUCCAGAGCCCACCUGUCCAGAGAGGCUCCACCUAAUUUCCCUGGCUGUGGGCACCCCCUUAAAAGCCCUUUAUGCCAUC
rnacentral:lncRNA from 1 species